rnacentral:rRNA from 1 species
UACAGAGGUCCCGAGCGUUGUUCGGAUUCACUGGGCGUAAAGGGUGCGUAGGUGGCCGGGUAAGUCGGAUGUGAAAGCUCGGAGCUCAACUCCGAAACGGCAUUGGAAACUACCUGGCUGGAGGCUCGGAAGGGGGACUGGAAUUCUCGGUGUAGCAGUGAAAUGCGUAGAGAUCGAGAGGAACACCGGUGGCGAAGGCGAGUCCCUGGACGAGACCUGACACUGAGGCACGAAAGCUAGGGGAG